rnacentral:lncRNA from 1 species
UUCUACAAAACUCCGUCCGAGGCGUCGUCUUGCCAGAUCUGCUCGAUUGCCAACUCGCUAGAACUUCAUCCGCACGCCUCGCCUAAUCCUCCUGGGACGUUGUCUCGCCCAAGGUACCGCCUCUCCGGUCAACACCGUCGCUGCUAACCUCAAUAGGCAAUCUAUACAUAUAAUUCAAAGCAAAAGGAAAAAAGAAAGGAAAAACUAGAGGGAGGGGAUGCAAGAUCUAACCCGUUCAUCCAUCUUCUCAAACCGUCUCCCGGUCAGCCACCAUAGCAGUUAGCGGGAAAGGAAAGGGAUGUGGUCGCCCCCCCUAGAUCUAGGCAUAUCCGAAGAGAUUAUUUAAGGAGCUACCACAAGAUCCACCUCCAGAACCAACCGCCGACUCAACAUCAUCGAUGGAGAGGGAACAAAGGAGAGACAACUGCUAGUCCCCACCCAAACGAACGUUGAUGAUUUUCUCACG